rnacentral:tRNA from 1 species
GGGUCGGCCCGCCUAUUAGAGUGAGGCAACGGUCUGUAAAACCGCCGCGUGAGCUUUGCAGGUGCAAUUCCUGCCCGGCCCA